CCUACGGUGCGCUGCAGUGGGGAAUAUUGGACAAUGGGCGAAAGCCUGAUCCAGCCAUGCCGCGUGUGUGAAGAAGGCCUUCGGGUUGUAAAGCACUUUCAGUGGGGAAGAAAGCCUUGGGGCUAAUACCCUCGAGGAAGGACAUCACCCACAGAAGAAGCACCGGCUAACUCCGUGCCAGCAGCCGCGGUAAUACGGAGGGUGCGAGCGUUAAUCGGAAUUACUGGGCGUAAAGCGCGCGUAGGCGGUCUGAUAAGCCGGUUGUGAAAGCCCCGGGCUCAACCUGGGAACGGCAUCCGGAACUGUCAGGCUAGAGUGCAGGAGAGGAAGGUAGAAUUCCCGGUGUAGCGGUGAAAUGCGUAGAGAUCGGGAGGAAUACCAGUGGCGAAGGCGGCCUUCUGGACUGACACUGACGCUGAGGUGCGAAAGCGUGGGUAGCAAACAGGAUUAGAUACCCUAGUAGUC
rnacentral:rRNA from 1 species